rnacentral:rRNA from 1 species
UACGGAGGAUUCGAGCGUUAUCCGGAUUUAUUGGGUUUAAAGGGAGCGUAGACGGCAGUGCAAGUCUGGAGUGAAAGGCGGGGGCUCAACCCCCGGACUGCUCUGGAAACUGUACGGCUGGAGUGCAGGAGAGGUAAGUGGAAUUCCUAGUGUAGCGGUGAAAUGCGUAGAUAUUAGGAGGAACACCAGUGGCGAAGGCGGCUUACUGGACUGUAACUGACGUUGAGGCUCGAAAGCGUGGGGAGCAAACAGG